rnacentral:rRNA from 1 species
GACGAACGCUGGCGGCGUGCCUAAUACAUGCAAGUCGAGCGAAUCACUGGGAGCUUGCUCCCGGUGGUUAGCGGCGGACGGGUGAGUAACACGUGGGCAACCUGCCUGUAAGACUGGGAUAACACCGGGAAACCGGUGCUAAUACCGGAUAAUCCUUUCCUGCACAUGCAGGAAAGCUGAAAGUCGGUUUCGGCUGACACUUACAGAUGGGCCCGCGGCGCAUUAGCUAGUUGGUGAGGUAACGGCUCACCAAGGCGACGAUGCGUAGCCGACCUGAGAGGGUGAUCGGCCACACUGGGACUGAGACACGGCCCAGACUCCUACAGGAGGCAGCAGUAGGGAAUCUUCCACAAUGGACGAAAGUCUGAUGGAGCAACGCCGCGUGAGCGAUGAAGGCCUUCGGGUCGUAAAGCUCUGUUGUUAGGGAAGAACAAGUACCGGAGUAACUGCCGGUACCUUGACGGUACCUAACCAGAAAGCCACGGCUAACUACGUGCCAGCCGCCGCAGUAACAC